rnacentral:rRNA from 1 species
GACGAACGCUGGCGGCGUGCCUAAUACAUGCAAGUAGAACGCACAGUUUAUACCGUAGCUUGCUACACCAUAGACUGUGAGUUGCGAACGGGUGAGUAACGCGUAGGUAACCUGCCUGGUAGCGGGGGAUAACUAUUGGAAACGAUAGCUAAUACCGCAUAAUAUUAAUUAUUGCAUGAUAAUUGAUUGAAAGAUGCAACUGCAUCACUACCAGAUGGACCUGCGUUGUAUUAGCUAGUAGGUGAGGUAACGGCUCACCUAGGCGACGAUACAUAGCCGACCUGAGAGGGUGAUCGGACACACUGGGACUAGGACACGGCCCAGACUCCUACGGGAGGCAGCAGUAGGGAAUCUUCGGCAAUGGACGAAAGUCUGACCGAGCAACGCCGCGUGAGUGAAGAAGGUUUUCGGAUCGUAAAGCUCUGUUGUAAGAGAAGAACGGGUGUGAGAGUGGAAAGUUCACACUGUGACGGUAUCUGACCAGAAAGGGACGGCUAACUACGUG